AUUCUUGUUGUUCUCAUCAAGUUCAAAAGAAUCACGUCCCGAUCUUAAAUAUCGAAGUAUCUAUUCGAUGAUUGUGGUACUCUAUCAAAUCUCCUUAAUAAUGCCUCUACAAUAGAUUCUAGGUUUGAUCUAAUCAAAUCUGAUUCUAUGGAUUCACCAGAUUGUGUCGGUUCUUCUACCUGUCAAACUUCAUAAGUUCUAUAUUAAAAGUAUCAGUACCUUCACUAAAGUACUUCUUUUCUAAAAGAAAUACCGAACAACUUUUGUUCUUUAGUAUGGUAGAAGUUAUAUUACUUAGAUUCUUUGAGGUUAUCCUACAAAAUAAUACAUAUAGGAUCGGGAUCCAAGCUAAUCGAUCUGUAAAUAUUCGACAUAAACUGAACACUCUCAAACCCUAAGGUAA
rnacentral:lncRNA from 1 species